rnacentral:rRNA from 1 species
AGCGAACGCUGGCGGCAGGCUUAACACAUGCAAGUCGAACGCCCCGCAAGGGGAGUGGCAGACGGGUGAGUAACACGUGGGAACGUACCCUUUGGUUCGGAAUAACUUGGGGAAACUCAAGCUAAUACCGGAUAAGCCCUUAUGGGGAAAGGUCUACUGCCGAAGGAUCGGCCCGCGUCUGAUUAGCUAGUUGGUGAGGUAAUGGCUCACCAAGGCGACAAUCAGUAGCUGGUCUGAGAGGGUGAUCAGCCACACUGGGAAUGAGACACGGCCGAGACUCCUACGGGAGGCAGCAGUGGGGAAUAUUGGACAAUGGGGGCAACCCUGAUCCAGCCAUGCCGCGUGAGUGAUGAAGGCCUUAGGGUUGUAAAGCUCUUUUACCCGGGACGAUAAUGACUGUACCGGGAGAAUAAGCCCCGGCUAACUUCGUGCCAGCCGCCGCGGUAA